rnacentral:rRNA from 1 species
GACGAACGCUGGCGGCGUGCUUAACACAUGCAAGUCGAACGAUGAAGCCGGAGCUUGCUCUGGUGAAUUAGUGGCGAACGGGUGAGUAACACGUGAGUAACCUGCCCUUGACUCUGGGAUAACUGCUAGAAAUGGUAGCUAAUACCGGAUACGACCCUCGGAGGCAUCUCCAGGGGGUGGAAAGAAUUUCGGUCAAGGAUGGACUCGCGGCCUAUCAGCUAGUUGGUGAGGUAACGGCUCACCAAGGCGACGACGGGUAGGCGGCCGGAGAGGGUGAGCAGCCACACUGGAACUGAGACACUGCCCAGACUCCUACGGGAGGCAGGAGUGGGGAAUAUGGCACAAUGGGCGCAAGCCUGAUGCAGCAACGCCGCGUGAGGGAUGACGGCCUUCGGGUUGUAAACCUCUUUUAGUAGGGAAGAAGCGAAAGUGACGGUACCUGCAGAAAAAGCACCGGCUAACUACGUGCCAGCCGCCGCCGUAA